GGUGGUUUUUUUCUUCAAGCUAGUCAACCAGUGGACUAAACACACCGUUGACGAGGCUUUGACUCAAUCCUGGCCAUUGUAUAGUCAACCAAGGCAUGUCCGUGCCACGUCUAGACACACGCGGCGCCUCGAUGACGGCAGCGUGUUCUUAGCCUUGUCUCUACUGACGCGAUUCCAAUCUAUAUGGAUCUCCUUUUCAAGAUAGACGAGGUAACCUUCAACCUUGCAUUGUGCUGGUUUCUCACAACUCUUGUUCGUUUCGAAUCUUUUGGCGAGUUUGGAAUGGGUUCGUCCGACGGCCCAAUGCUUGCGGAUGAAAAAGGCAGCGGAACGAUUCAAAGGCAGUUCUCUCAUGGGGCUUUGCGUUCCGAAAGGAGCAUCCAGACGGGAGCGCUUUCAAGGCUCAACUCGUCUGGCUUGAAGGGUGACCUCCAAAAGCCUCUACUGCGAGCCAAAUCGAGGGCUUUCAUCAAGCCACCCAGCUCGGUUAUCCCAACACUGUUCACGCUCGUCGUUGUUCUUGGAACUUUGUCCCUUGGAAUUGCUCUCGGGUAUACUUCACCGACGCAAGCUGAUAUAAUUCACGAUCUCCAUUUAAGCUUAUCUCAGUAUUCUUUCUUUGGUUCUCUCGUGAACUUGGGAUGCAUGGUCGGUGCUGUUUCAAGUGGAAGGAUAGCAGAUAGUCUCGGCCGUAAAGGAGCGUUAGUAGCAGCAGCUAUUCCCAAUCUUGUAGGAUGGAUUAUGGUCGCCAUGGCAAAAGAUUUGCAAUUUCUUUACAUUGGGAGGUUUUUGAAAGGACUUGGUGGCGGGAUUGUCUCCUUUACUGUUCCAACUUAUAUUGCAGAAGUUUCUCCCAAACAUAUGCGAGGAACUUUGGGUGCCAUGCAUCAGCUGGCAGUAACUGUUGGUAUCAUGAUGGCAUAUAUGGGGGGAUUGUUUUUUCAGUGGAGAAUGCUUGCUCUAAUUGCUACUAUUCCCGGAGCGCUACUUUUGAUCGGGCUUUGUUUUAUCACUGAAACACCUCGCUGGCUGGGAAAUGCCGAUCGUAACAAAGAUCUCGCUACAGCUCUUCAGAGACUACGAGGAAAAGAUUAUAACAUAAGCUCGGAGCUUUCUGAGAUUCAGAACGCUGCGGAGGUAUCCAGAUUGCAGCCCAGCGUGCUAGUUACAGAGCUAUUUCAAUGGCGACUCUUCCGGCCCCUACUUGCAGGAAUAGGCGUAAUGGCCUUGCAGCAAUUUAGUGGAAUCAACGGAAUCAUGCUUUACGCUGGUGAAAUUUUCAGCACAGUCGGAUUUAAGUCACCAAACGCAGCUUCCUUGCUUCUAGCCAUGCUACAAGUAGCCGUGACGCUCACCUCAGCAGGAUUGAUGGAAAAGGCUGGAAGACGUUUGUUAUUUUAUCAUCGGGAGGCAUGGCUCUCAGCGCUUUUCUCGUGGGAUUCUCAUUCUUUCUACGCAACAUAAAGAAUCCAUCUCCUGAAAUGGACACAUUCAUCAACGUUCUAGCACUUUGUAGCCUUCUGUUUUAUGUGGUAUCAUUUUCAUUCGGUCUCGGUGCCAUUCCCUGGGUUAUAAUGUCGGAGAUCUUUCCUUCUCGUGUCAAAGGCCUGGCCGGAAGCCUUGCUACGCUAGUGAAUUGGUCUUGCGCCUGGGCCGUGACACUAACCUUCAACUUCCUGCUCAACUGGACAUCUUAUGGUUGCUUUUGGCUAUACGCAUCGAUUUGCCUCGCCACAGUUAUCUUCGUCGCUCUCUUUGUUCCGGAGACUCGAGGUCGCACUCUAGAGCAGAUUGAGGCUUCGUUUAAAUAGACGAUUCAAAUCGGACACCCAGUGGAUCAUCGUAGAAAACAAGGUACCUAUUCAUUUUCCAACUUGUAAACAUCGAACGUGAUUUUACCUGCGAAGUAAGUUUCACUGCUCGGUCUGAAUGAUAAGUCCAAUGGGGCAGUGGUCGCUGCCAUCAAGCUGAGGAAGAACAUACGAAUCCGCGACAUUGGAAACCAGUCCUUGAGAAACAAGGAAGUAGUCCAACCUCCAUCCUAUCAUAAAAAAACAAUUGUUUUGUAAGUUUGUAAAGUAAAAGCCAUACCUUUGUUCUGUGGUC